GCGGAGUCUCAGUGUCCACCAGGACCCUGCCUGGAAUUUCCUAAUUUCCUUGACUGGUGGAGCUACUCUCCACCCAGUCAGUGAUGGAUGACAAAAGAAAAGCACCAUCCGAAGGAGAUCCAGAGACUGCAUCAAGUUCACAUUAAGGACCUUCUGGGGGAAAACCCUUUCCUGUAUGCCAUCUGUUUUCUGUGGGGCCCUGAGUGAUGAG
rnacentral:lncRNA from 1 species